GGACGCACACACCAACGCACAAAGUAUAAACAUCAGGCCACUUACGUAGGCUAUGGCGGAAGCUCUGCGUGGAGCCUCCGCAGAACCAUGAAUCCCGCUUAAGAGUCUGUUGACUGCAGAGGAAAAUGUAUGAUGCUGCCAUAAAAGUGCAGAAAAUGUCCAAAGCUCGUUUUUGCAGACCAAUACUAGUUGUGCACUGACCUCGUUGACAAAUAAUGCUUUUCCUGUUCCUUACAAGAAAAUCCUUCCUGUGGUUCAACGGUGAAAAUCUUUUAAAAGGAAGCAACUAAAGCAGGACAGGAAAUGUCUCCAGCAGUCGUAGUUAGGCAGAAUGAAGAAAUGCAGUACGAGCAAGAUUUUUAAGAUAACGGUGAUUUUACUGACCUCUCUCAUUAUUUAUUAUUAUUUAAGAUAAUGAAGUGCAAGGGCUUGGUUUGAGACGUUUGGGGGGGGGGCGGCACAAUAAAACAGAGGGUUUUGGGGUCUUCCCCCAGAAAACAAUUUGCGUUUUGAAUCCCAUCUUCUGUUUCUACAUACGUUUAAGGACUACGGUAUCAAUACAAAAUAAUUCAUUGUGCAAUAUUCUGCCAGAAUAAUACUAAAUGUGGAUAAGAAAAAGCUGCCUGGCUUUCUGUAUUGUUUAAUCCACAACUUUAUUGAACUUGAUGUAGUUCAAAUGAGCGUAACCUUAAACAUCUACAGUAUAGAAUGCGACAUAUGCAUUAAUGCAGCAGUGAUAUUAAUCCAGAAACAUUAUAUAGAAUAGUAAAACACUGACAGGGAACAUUUUAUUGCAUAAUCAAUACUUUUACUUUUGAUGUUGUUUUUAAACUUUUUUUUACUGACACAUCUUGCUGAUAAUACUUACAUAGCGGUACUUUUACUUCAGUAAGGUUUUGAAUGCUGUACUUUUAUUAGUAGUGAAGUAUUUUCACAGUUUGGUAUUAUUCUCUGCCAUUAUAACAGGUUAAUGUUAGGCUCUUGUUAAUGUAAGAGCCUAACCAUUGAGUAACACCAUGACUUAAUUUUUGGCUUAACACAGUUGGAGUACUGGUAACAGAGGAGAGCCAGAAGUUACAAGUGCCCCAGAUGAAAUGGUUUUAUAGUGCCUUCUUUAUUCUUAAAACUAGGUUGAAUCAGGUUAUUGCUUAACUGACUGACAUGUGUUGUUGAUUCUCAGUAACUGGUAAAACAAGCCAUACACCUUUUUAUUAUAAAGAUAACAAAGGUCUUUUAUGUGGAUUAGAAUUUAAUAUUUUAAUACUAUAACAAUCUGGGGAGAGGAUAAUGCCCAGUGGCCAUAUUCACAAAACAUCUUAAGCCUAAAAGUAGCUCCUAUAACUCCUCCUCUGACUCUUAAAGAAAUGGGCGUGUCAAUCCUAAUUUUAGGACGCCUAAAUUUUGGAUCUUAGAGUAUUUCACAAAGCGUUUUAGUGCUAAAACCAGCUCCUAAAUCUGUGAAAAGUAAGAAGUAGUCAAGAGGACUCCUAAGUCACUAAGAGCAAAUCACAAA